AGGUGCAGACCCGCUGUGGCGCCCGGCGAGAGUGAGGCGCGCGGGGUCGAUCCGGGGCGCACAUGUCUUCCAGGUUAGGAUUCGCCAAGUCUUUGCAUCUCCGGUGGUUCCGAAGCUCCGGAAAGAUAUCUAAUUAUUCAGCACCAUUUGUUGAAAAGACUGUCCUUUCAUUGAAUUGCUUGUACACCUUUGUCAAAAAUCAAUUGGCUGGAGAAGACCUUCAAGAUGGCAGAGGAGUAAGAUGUGGAGAUCACCUUCCUCCCCACUUAUACAUCAAAAAUACAUCUAAAUGUGGAACAACUCCUACAGAACACCUGCUGAACACUGGCAGAAGACCUCAGACUUCCCAAAUGACUCCAGAGGGUGACCACCAUGAAGAGGCAGGGCCAAAUCCAAAGCUGAACCCCAGGAGCUCUGAGAACAAAGAAGAGAAAGGGAAAUUUCUCUGUGAAGCCUCAGGAGCAGGAGAUUAAACCUUCACAGUCAACUUGAUGUACCCUGCAUCUGUGGAAUACCUGAAUAGACAACAAAUCAUCCCAAAAUUGAGGCAGUGAACUGUGGGACAACUGUAGACUUGGGGUUUGCUGUCUUAGCUGCAGCAUGUGGGAUCUUUGUUGCAGCAUGUGGACUCCUUAGCUGUGGCAUGUGGACUGCUUAGCUGUGGCAUGCAGACUUCUUAUUUGCAGCAUGCAGACUUCUUAGUUAUGGCAUGCGUGUGGGACUGUUUCCUGAGCAGGGAUUGAAGCCAGGCCCCCUGCCUUGGGAGCAUGGAGUCUUACCCACUGGACCACCAUGGAAGUUCCUAUUUCCAUCUUCUUGCUAUUGUGUUUCUCAGAUAUAGAGUGAACACUCAUCAAAUUAGAAACCAUGUCAAGAAACAGAACAUAAAUGGCUCUGCAAAAAUCCCUGCCUGGUAACAACUUCCUCAUGCUUAAGAGUUCAUCACUCUCCUGAUAUUUACCUCCUUGAUUUUCUUUGUAGUUUUACCACCUAUAUAUUAAUUCCUAAAAAUGUAAUUGAGUUUUGCUUGUUUCUGACAUUUACAUAAAUGUAACCAUACAUGCAUAUUUAUAUUUUUUGUUUAAUAUUAUGUUUGCAAUCAUUGUAUAAGAUUUCAUAUAGCUGUAUAAUUCUCCCUUAAGAAAUACUAUUCCUUUAUUCUAUCGCUGAUGAGCCCAAUUUUGGCAAAAAUAACCAAUAUUGCCAUAAAUAUUGUUUUAUUCAUUCUAGAGAAUACAGUUGGGAAAAUGAUUUUUUAUAGGGUAUACAGUUCGGAAAAUGAUUACUUGGUUACAGGUGUGUAAAACUUUAACUAUUUCAUAACAUCUUCCUGAUUUCAUAGUGGUUUUAUCAGUUUACAUUUUCAGUCAAUAAAUAAGGGUCUUUAAUAUUUUACACCUUCCCCAUGACUUGCCAUUGCCAGAUUUGUUAAUCUCAUUUCAUGCUAUACAUAUUACUUACCUCACCUUAUACUCUAUUUUGCAUUCUGUGAAAAGUAAUGAGAUUGAACACAUUUUCAAAGAUUUAACAGCUGUUUGAAAGCUCCUAUAUAUAAAGUCUUUCACCUAAACUGAGUUGCUAUGCUUUCCUAUUAAGACUUGCAGAAGUUUUUACAUUUUCAGGAUGCCUAUCCUUUCUAGGUUACUUGUAUUGUAUAUCUAUUCUGCUACUCUGUGGCCUGUCUCUUCAUCCUUUUAAUGGUAUCAUUUAUGAACAAAAUUCUCAAUUUUAAUGUAGUCAAGUUUAUUAAUCAUUCUCUUUUGACUGGUGUUUUUUGUGCCUUUGGGACUUAUAAGAAAAGUCUUGAAAUAUGAAGGUGUUCACUGCAAAACUGACCUUCUGGAGUCUAACUACCCCACAGAAUUCUAUUAGUGCUCAGUAACUCACCUUUAUGGCUCUGGUUUGAGAAUUCUUCCUCUAAGAACCAAGGUUCUUCUCCUUGCUCCAAUUUGAAGAUCACCUCUGGUUUGAAAAUGCAGUUCCCUGUAAACAGGCAACAACUGAGUACUUAGGCCAGAUGAUGAGCUUUUUAGUCUCCAGAAGUGGAAAAAGCUUCAGGAACAGCAUCCUGAAGGCCCUCAGCUGAAUUUAUCAUUGGCAGUUGGUAACGGCAGUCAAACACUUUCUAUUCCUCAGUAGGGCUUGGUUACAUUAUAUUCCUUAAUAAAAAGCCUAAAUGACAUUAAAAUCUAAAGUAUUCAUGCGUACUGAUGCAUAAAAAGGAAAUGCCUUCUGUAACGAGUUACGAGGGUAAGUUAUGCUUAUAUGCUCACCCACUGAGACUAGGUUGUUGUAGUUCUCUAGCAUCACAUCUCUGUAGAGGGUUUUCUGAAUAGGACCCAUUUGCUGCCACUCCUCCUGGGUGAGUUCGACAGUUACGUCCUUGAAUGACACUGAUGCCUGCAAGAGUACAUUUGUGUUUAAUCUGGGUUUAGAAUUAGAUGACACAGGAAAUACGCAUGAAAACAGUUCUUAUGUUUACCUUAAAGAGCUGAAACAAAUGAAUAUAAAGGAUGCCUAUUUUGGAUCUAAUUUUAGCUUAUACUUUGGAGGUGCUCAAUUAGUAAAAAU